UAGAAACCAUGUCUGGCUCCCGAGUUACCAUCAGGGGGCGCCCUUGUGCAAGGCGCUGGGCACGCAAAGCCUUCGAAGGCUCCAGGAUGAAGGAGGUGGAGCCCUGAGAAGCCAAGAAGGUCACCCACGUUCACACAGCUGGAAAGCACCGCUUAGGGCAGAAUUGCUAUUCCGAGUGCCAGCACAUCCCUUGCUGUACCAAAGCCAAGGAGAAGAGUGAGAUGACCUGUGAUGGAGACGGGGAGUGGAGGCACAAAACAAGCAGCAGGAACCAUGGAGAGCUCCACCUACUUACACGGAAGACAUGAGUGCCCGUGUCUGGUAGAGGAGCCUAAAAGGCCAAAGUCAGGCUUCUAUAUUUACUGCUCUGUGGGUAAAGGUCUCUGAGAGCGCAUAUGAGUUACCUUGUGGUGACUUCUGGCCGGCUGAGUCACUUCCCUCUGUCACCUCUGAGGCAAGAGAAUGCAGAGACAAUUGUGAGACCAUUUGAAUCAGCUAUUCAGUGAGUGGCCUUUCCCCAGAGGUCAGUGGCCUAUCUGGCCACCACAGCUGGCAGUCACAAAGGACCUGCCGAGAAUCCAAUCGAAUGGCGUUGCAAAGGCUGAGGCCACUCUUCUGGGAAUGGGAGGGUGAGGAGCAAGGUGAUUUUGCUUCUGUCACAAUUUCCCUUUAGACACAACCUGUCUCAAGGGCAAAAAUAGCAGCUUUGCAGGCAGGAAAAUAUUGUGACAUCAUCCCAGAUUCAGGCAGAUUCAUCAGCUCCACUCCAGCCAGUCAGUCUCACUUGCUCCUUGGAGACACGGGCAAGGUCCUAAGGGACAAAUUUGGAGGUCCAGAGGUCCCAUGUAGCCUCUUAGCCCCAGUUCUGUGCUCUAAGAACAAGACACGCCUACCCCCGGCUGAUAGCCACCAGGAAAAGAAGAAAGUGCUGUGCCUGUGACUAUACUUUCAGUCCUCCUGCAGCCCCAGGGUUGACUGUCAGGCCUGCAGGGAUUUGACCACAAUCAUUGGCUCAACGGCACUUCAAAAUCCAUUCUCAGCCUGUCUCUCCUCUGUCUCUUGCUGUCUGUCUCACUGUCUGCCUCUUUAUCUGGCUUCCAAAUGAGCGCUGAUGGUUUCCUCCCAGGAGAGGGCUUGCUUGAGCUUCCUGGAAAAUGGAGAAAAUCUUUGGAAAGUAGGAAGAAAUGAGGGGUUUUAGCAGUGACCUACGGGCAGGGAGGGGCAGAAUGGUGCAGUGUGACUCCCCAGAAUGUGCAGGGUGCAGGCUACGGCAGGGACCAGGAGCAGCAGAGGGGGUGGGGUGUUGUGGAGGGGGAGGAAGCUGCGGACUGCACAUAGAAGUUUGUAGGGCAGCUUUGACCAGGAAUGACCAGGUUUCCAAAGAGUCAUGUCCUCUUAAUGGGAAAGGCCCUGUGUGUGGUCCUCACACCCCUCUAAUGGGAGGGCAGUUGGCCUCAGGUAGGCUCCCUGAGGGACAGAAGGACAUGUAGAGCAGGUGAGAGACUAUCCCAGACUCACAGGAAUGAGCUAUCUCUAUAGCAGAGCUUGCCUUGGAGGUGGCUCAGUUUAGAGAUGAUAGAUUUGGACCCCCUCUCACUGAUUUGAACAUUUUGCUCACUCAAAGUCCUUAUCUAUAAAAUGGGGAAACAGUGUCGUAAUACAGUAUGGCAUACUGUCUUUUUUGUCUGUUUUUUGUGGGAGAUGGUAGCUGGGGUUCAAGACCGAGUCUCUCUAUGUUUCCCUGGCUGUCCUACAACUUGUUCUGUAGACCAGGCUGGCCUUGGAGCUCACAGAGAUCCACCUGCCUCUGCAUCCUGAGUGCUGGGAUUAAAGGACUGUGCCAGCACUGAUGACAUACCAUCUUAAUUAGUAUAAACCUGGGCCUGGCCCAGAGCAAGCACUCCACAGUGAGCCUUAGCUAGGGAACACCACUCUUUUUCCUGGUGGCUGCAAGGCAGAUUCUGAAGUCACAAAAAGUACAAAGAAUGUUAUCAGCUACUGUGAGGACUCCUAGCUCUGCCAGAGAGUAGCAAAUCCACUCAGAUUCUCCAUCUCUAGGACCAUUUACCUCUGUCCUCUGUCCCCACAGUCAGCACUGGUGCACCAUGGGCCUAGGCCUCUAUUAUCUUCUCUGUAGUAGAAGCAGCUGGAACAUAGCCCUCCUAAAUCCCACACACACAUACCCUGUCCCAGCUGGACUCCAGGACACUGGGCUUGGUGCCUCCUCCCUGGCUAUACCCAAGACCCUGUCGGUGGUGCUAACCCUCAUCCUCCUCUGCCUCAACCCCACACGCCUGACCUCCACCGUCAACAUCUCCGAAGACCUCCUCAUCUCGGGGGAUGAAUUCUGAGCUCACGUUCUGGACGGCUGCCAGGAAAGAAGGAAGCGGCGUUGGUUUAAAGCAUCACACAAAAGGCCGCAGUGCUGAAGUUCCCCAGGAGGCUCCACCCCCUCCACCCAGUACUGAAUCGCCCCAGGAGGCUCCGCCCUCUUCACCCGGUGCUGAAGCUUCCCAGGAGGCUCCAAGCUGUCUUAAAAUGCUGACGGAGCAAAACUGAGGCAGGUGUGGACUCAGCCCUUUGCUUGCCAAGCCUCAACAUCUGUCUCUGUGGGAUGGAACCUGCACUCCUUGCUUCUCCUUCAGAGUAGAGCUGUGAGCUCUCACAAUGAUGGGCUCCAUCCAUACAGAGAGAGGACCAUCUUCCCGGCAGGAGGCAGGAGCAGCUGCAUCUGAAUGUAUGUCAGGCACCUAGUGUGCAUCCGCUCGGGACGGAGAGAAAGAAGAAAACCAGAUUUCUACUCCGUUCCCAAGCAUGCUGAUUUUGUGAGAUAGGUUUCCCACUUGAGUCUCAAGGUUUUGCCCCUUUAAAUAGAAGAAUGGGAGCUGGGGACAGGGCUUGGGAGGUAAGAGUGCUGCUCUUGCAAAGGGACCCAAAUGUGGUUCCCAGCACCCAUGACAGGUAACUCACAACUGACUGU